GAUGAAGAACGUAGCGAAAUGCGAUACUUGGUGUGAAUUGCAGAAUCCCGUGAACCAUCGAGUCUUUGAACGCAAGUUGCGCCUCAAGCCAUUAGGUUGAGGGCACGUCUGCCUGGGCGUCACAUAUCGUUGCCUGAUGCCAGUUUCCUCGUGAUGGGUGACUGUGCAGGGCGAAUGAUGGCUUCCCGUGAGCAUUGUUGCCUCAUGGUUGGUUGAAAAUUGAGUCCUUGGUAGGGAGCGCCGUGAUAGAUGGUGGUUGAGUGACGAACGAGACCCAAUCAUGUGAGACCCCUACCGAAUUUGGCCUUCAUGACCCACAUGCGUCUUUGGAACGCUCAUGACGAGACCUCAGGUCAGGCGGGGCUACCCGCUGAGUUUAAGCAUAUCAAUAAGCAGGA
rnacentral:misc_RNA from 1 species